AGGUUUGUAUUGCUGAAACGGUCUUUCUGCCCAAAUGCUCGAAUAGUUACAGCACCAGAGAGUGAUUCUCCAAAAUGAUGAAGGAUCGGAGCUUUCUGGAUUUCUGACAACCGAGCCAACUCUCUUGCAGUGGAUGGUGUUGAGUCAAAGAAGGACAUUGGGGCACGAACGAUAGAGUGGAGCAUCUUUUGGAAAAAAAAUUGAGAUGUCAAAAGGCCUGUUUUUACAAGCAGAGUUGAUCGGAUCAACAUACACAGUGAACAUCCAACUGAAAGAAGUAUAUACACUAAGAAGAGAAACUCGAGUCCCACUGUAGACUCUGUAGUUGUAGUUGGAGGAGAAGCCCAUGCCAUCCAAUAGUUGCUUGCUACUUGCAGUACCUGGAAAAAUGCUUGUGCUAUGACUAUUAUGGGAACCAAGGCACCUCCUCGUGCUGCAGUCAGGAUAACCUUGAACAGUUGAGUGCCUGUAUGAGCAUCCAAAGCGCUGAAAGGGUCAUCAAGAAGGUAUAUAUCAGCAUCCUGAUAGACUGCUCUAGCUAGCUGGAUCCUUUGCUUCUGCCCUCCGCUCAUAUUUAUACCUCUUUCUCCAAUCUCUGUCAGGUCCCCAUUAGCAAAGAGCUCAAAAUCCUUCUUCAGAGCACAAACCUCAAUUGUCUUUUCAUACUUUUCAUUGUCAAAAGUAUUUCCAAAGACAAUAUUUUCUCUAAUAUUUCCUGACAGUAUCCAUGGGGAUUGUGAAACAUAUGCUUUGCUGCCCCUAAUUUUUACUCUCCCUCCAAGCUUUGGUAUUUCUCCAAGGAUGCAUGAGAGUAAACUAGACUUUCCCGAACCAACAGUACCACAAAUAGCCACCUUCAUUCCCCUAUGCACCUUCAGCUGUAUAUUUUCAAGUGUGGGGCAUCCUGAGUCUUGGUUCCAGCUAAAUGUCCCACGAUCAAUCUCAACAUCAACCUCUGCUUCAUUUCUGGGAGCAAUUUCAACCGCAUCAGCUCUCAUUUCGUCUUCUUGGAGGUACUUUGCUAUUCUGUCAGCUGAAACUUUUCCUUGUGCAAGUACUGAAAGCAGAUCGGGUAGAGUAAAGAUUGGUUCUUGCAGCAUUCUGAAUGUUGCCAAUGCAGACAAAACUCUUCCUGCAGUUAGAGGGAUUCCUAUGAUUAUACACGUUCCAAAUGUCACCACUGAUAUGAACAUCGGUGCUCCCCAGAAUAUAAAAGAUGAAAUUGCUUGCAAUCUUAAAGACAUCCACAGCCAAUUGUGCUCAGUGUUUCUCAGGUCUUCUAACUUGCGAAGUUAAGGGAAUAUUGCAUGCCAUUAUCAUUGUUGUUGCUGCUAAUCCAGCCAAAGCUCCAACUCCAAGAUUUUUAUAAAGAACAUAUAUUGCUAGUGCAAUCUGGACGGGAAUCAUCCAAAUUAUGUUUGAAUACCAUAUCAGGUCGGUAAUCCUUUGGAUAUCCACACUCAUGUAGUUGAUAAUCUCCCCACUCGUAUGGCUCUGCCGAGACUGACUUGAUAAAAUGAGGCCCUUUUUGUAUAUAUGAGAUAUUAGAACAGCUCUUAAGCGCAUUCCAAGCUGUCGAGCUCCAAAAAUCCAUUGUCUCUGACACACGGUCUCUACAACUUUGGCACCAAGAAAUGCAAGUGCAAUGAAGGUCCAACAUAAGAGGCCCCUGCAGCUGCAACUGCAAAGCUUGCAUUAAUCACAGCCUUCUUCCAGAUGAACAUGAAGAUUGCUCUGUAGAUUGAUGAAGUUCUCAAGCCGUAUCUUUCUUUGACGUUAUUCAGGCAACAGUUGAAUGAGUGAGACAAGAACUCAGCAUAAUCAUUUUUAUCAAUGUCUGGUACGUCAUUCUGCUCUAGUGGUUUCAUCUUUCCGGUAGUGAAAAGUGGGUUAAGCCAUGAGAAGGUCACAAGUUGUAUAAGACUUGCACUCCUGUAAAAGGAGCUCCUCUUGUUCUCAGCAUGCUUCUCCUUUGAUGUUUGCACUUGCAAUAAUGGUUCGUUAAGGCUAUUGGCAUCGCAGCUGAUCCCUGUUGUACCUCUGACUGAGAUAACAAAGAGUAGCAUGCAAGGAAAGAGACUUAUUAUCUCUGUAUAUUGUUCUACUCCUAAGAAUGACUUUGCUAGAAGUGUGGAGCGUAUAUCAAGAGCAGUACAGAUAGCUGAUUGCAGGAAGCUGCAUAUGAACCAUGUUCUUAUUAUCCAAGAAAGUUUUACAGAUCUAGCUUGUGGGAGAUUAACUAUGACAGCAACCAGAAAUAUCCAUGAUAUCAACUGUGUUGUCUCAGCUACAACUGAUACGAUGUACUUGCAAUUGCCUCCGCUUCCUUCUAGCAGAAAGAAAACAAGUCUGAACAGGUUGAUGGCCAAUAUCAGGGAGCAACAAACUUUAGCAGCUUGGAGUUGAACCAAGAAGCAACUGAUAAAGAUGAGAUUGAGAAAUGCAAAAACAUUCUUCCAGAAACAAAGGACGCUGAUAUCUUGCCAUCCUUUCCAAGAUUGAAGUGAAUGGAAAUCUGCAAGAGCAGCAUGAAGUACCUUGUUCAGUUUGUAAUGAACAACAGUUUUGUAGCUACGACAGGAGAGUGGAUAUCCACCGAGGCAAAGGCAACAAGAGACUCCAGAUGACAAAUCACCCUCGUCCCUUCUUCUUGCAUGCACAUGUUUCUUGGCUUAACCUGCUUUCUGUAAGUGUUGCACUACAGCUGGGCCUCUCUGAGCCUUGGGCGCCAAGAAAUCCAACGCAUGGAAGUGAGCUUAAAAUAUGCUUUGUUGGUGGUGAUCACUAUUUCCGUCAUCUCGAUGGCACUGAGGUUAGAAAAAGACUCGAAUUGCGUGGAAAGCAAGAAGGUGAUGCUGAAAGCUACAGUGUUGGAGGUGCAUUUCCUCGUCAGCACGAUGCGACUAGUAUCAACAGGUUCUGCUUUCUCUUCGAUGAACUUUCAGACACAACAUACCUUAGAACUGAUAGCAAAAGUGUGAUGCGACACCAAUACUGUGUCAAGUGUCUGAACUGGUGCAUUCUCGGCCAUGAUUGAAAUGUGAUCACUCCACUUGCCUGCUAUAAGACAGAGAACCUUUAGUCCAUCGUGCACCAAUCUCUCGCGUGCAGGCGGGAAGUGGGAGACAGAGAGCCAUGGAGCAACGCUGGAAGGUGAAUAAUAAUAUUGCUGUGCUUUUCCUAAAAGGAGAUGCCACUUCCAUGGCCUUCCUCAUGUCCCAACUCGACUGCAAGGUGAAUAAUAAUAUUGCUGCAAAUACAUAUUACAUUUCUUCUUUUCUUGCUGCAUAUGACAUGACAGAUGGAAGAACCAGGCAAGGUGACAGUCGCUCAUGGAUCGAUCAUGGUGCUGCCCACUACCAAUCUCUUGGGAAGAGAGAAUCCUCACAGCUGUACUCGACUCCUCUUGGAAAAGCUUAUCGUGACAGUGGAACUGCAAGAGAGGGACAAGUGCAUCAAGAAGGUGACAGCCUGAGAGGCAAAUAAAAUUAUCAUUACAGGAGGGACUGCAAUGGCAUUUACCGGACGAGGCCCAUGUCUCGAGGCGCCCGGCCCGGCCCGGCCAUCAUGCCACGAGAGCAGGACGGACGGCAGAGAUCAUCGUCCGCAUACUACGUUGCAUCCGCCUCUCCGCAGAGACCCUUUUCUGCUCUCCCACAUAGUCGUCCUCGAGUCCCCGUCACACGUGCGGCAAUUUUGGGGUUUCUUUACCGGUUUCAGAGGAGAACCAACGAGGCCAUCGGGGUUUCACCGAUCUUUCCCGGUUGUUACGAUCUCUCCUCCUCUUUCAAGAAUCCAUGUUGGAGGCUUCGCUUUCUUUGGAUUUUCCGCGGAAAGAUGUACCCGUCUUUCUCGAAGAUGGUGGAGGUGGUUCGGUGGUCGGACACAGACGCAAGCGCCAGGCGCCUGGUUGAUUCAGUGCGGUGAUUAUGAUGGGGAUUUGUAUCGAGAGGAUCCUCUGGAGUCCGAAGGUGGGUUUGGGAAUAUCAUUGUGGUGGACAAUCUGCCGGUGAUGCCGCUGGAAAACUUUGCGAAGCUCGAAGGUGUCGUCCGGAAGAUGUACAAUCAAGAAACGGAAGACUCGAAUAUUCAGGGAAAGACGAAUGGACUCUAUGUUGGACAAAUCAUAUGCAUGAUGUUGAUCUGUUUGGUGACUUCAAGAAGUACAUGAUGAUUCCAGAUGAGUGGAAAUCUGCUGAAAUUAGAUCAAACAAACCUGGGUUGUUCUAUGUAAUUUGUUGUUUAUGCCCCUCUUCACUAUUGGACUGAGAGCUCUAUCCAGUGGCCUCUUCUACUUUUCAUUGUUUGAUGCAUUUUGCCUAUUCUCAGUUUUCAUGGCAUUCCUAGACUUCCACCACUCGAGGAUGCUGUUGAGGAGGCUGAGAUCGUUAGGAACCGGAAGCACAGCGAGAAGUAUGAAGCAGAGGACCAGGAUGUCCCCAUGCAAUUGAACGAGCAGUAAGGUAAAAAGAGAUGAUGAUGUGAGGAACAGUGAAAUGAAUCAGGAACCAAACGGAAGCGGUUAUGUUAGGAAGAGAGGUUGCUGAAGGCUUCAGUCGAGGGAUGAAGAGAGAAGGGGGGUAUGUACGCUGGUUGACUUGGUUCAGGAACCAAAAAUUAAUCUCCCUACUCCAUCUUGCAGUAGAUGGGACUAAUAUGCUGGUUGACUUGGUUCAGGACCAACCACUGGUGUCCGUUUUAAGGAUGGUGCACUCCAUGAACUACAGCGUGGUGCCAUUGUCAUCAUCACUCCACCAAUCGUGACUUCGCCAUCAUGAAGGGCAAUCUCAGAAGUGACGGAGUGGAGCUGGCCAUGGGGGUUGAGGACAAGGUGCCUUCAGUCACAAGACCGACAUGAGCAUGGGACUACGGUGUCUUCGCUUGCCUUGGCUCUACAUUCUCUUGUUUUUUUGGCGGGUUUUGAAUUAGCGUAUUAGUAUGUUUAAUCGAUUUUAAAACUUAAUAUGUUUCAAAAAUCGAUUGAUCAAACUAAGUAAAAAGAAUAAAAUUAACUCAGGACAAUUAAAUAGCGGCAAAUCGAUGUAUAGUGGUUUAAUUUUUUAUUUAUAUAUUAAAGAUUUUGAUAAUAAAAUCAAUUGAUAAGCUUAAGAAAAAUAGUAUAAGAAAUAUUUCGAUCACAAACUUAAACCAUCGAAAGGUCAAUUGUUGAGUAGAAGUGUUGAAUGUUAUGUUGAGAAAUUAUUAUGUUGAAAAUUGAAUGUCGACUCAAAAGGAUUAUAAAUGUACUGAUUGAUCGUGUAGGUGUAGAAAGUUUCAUAAAUGUACUGAUUGUGAGUGUAGGUGUCGAAAGUUUCAUAAAUGUAUUGAAUGUGAGCAGUUUCAUAAAUGUACUGAAUGUGAGUGUAGGAGUCGAAAGUUUCAUAAAUGUAUUGAAUGUGAGCGUAGGUGUA